AAUCUGGGGCCCUCGGCCCCCGAGUUGUAAUUUGGAGAGGCAUCUUCGGAGGGGAGCGCCGGCCCAUGUUCCUUGGAACAGGACGUCGCAGAGGGUGAGAAUCCCGUGCCAGGCCGGCAGCCUCCCCUCGAGUGAAGGGCCUUCGACGAGUCGAGUUGUUUGGGAAUGCAGCUCCAAGUGGGUGGUAUAUUUCAUCUAAAGCUAAAUACCGGCGGGAGACCGAUAGCGCACAAGUAGAGUGAUCGAAAGAUGAAAAGCACUUUGAAAAUAGAGUCAAAAAGUACGUGAAAUUGUUGAAAGGGAAGCGCUUGAGACCAGACUCAGACCCGAGCAAACACCGCGCCCCUCGGGGCCGUGCAAUUGCCAGGGGCUGGGCCAGCAUCAGUUGGCGUGGCGGGACAAAGGCGCGGGCAAUGUGGCUCCCCUCGGGGAGUGUUAUUAGGCCCACGCUCAAUGCCGCCGACGUCGACUGAGGACCGCGCCUCGGCUAGGAUGCUGGCUUAAUGGCCUUCAGCGACCCGUCUUGAAACACGGACCAAGGAGUCUAACAUCUAUGCGAGUGUUUGGGCGUCAAACCCUUGCGCGUAAUGAAAGUGAGCGGAGGUGGGAACCCCUCGCGGGGCGCACCAUCGACCGAUCCUGAUGUCUUCGGAUGGAUUUGAGUA
rnacentral:rRNA from 1 species